AUCCAGACGACGAAUUUCAAAUAGGACGAAGCGCGCGUCCUGAAU
rnacentral:hammerhead_ribozyme from 1 species